rnacentral:tRNA from 1 species
AGCUUGGUAGUCUAAUUGGCUAGGACACUUGCGCGUAAAGCAAGCGAUCCGGGUUCGAUUUUCGGCCGAGGUA